AAGAUUAACCUAUAGACUUCUAAUCUAUUAAUAAUGUUUUUUCAUUUAAUCUUU
rnacentral:tRNA from 1 species